UGUUGGGGUAGGGAGUCCCAGAGUGUGGGGGGUCCGUGUAUAUUUUGGCUCUUGGAUUUUCCGUUCUGAAAUGGGUAUUGAAAAACAAAAAAAAAAGAGUGGUUAUUUGAUUUUCGUUUUAAAAUACAAAAAUUAAAAUUGAAAUACAAGGCGUUUUUCCUUUUCGUGAUCAAAAAGGGAUAUACGAAAUUUUAAAAAUGCUUUGAUUUUCAUUUUAUAUUUAGAAUAACAAAAAAAUUAAAUCAGUAAGAGACAGAGACCGGAAGUGGUCAUCAGCAAGUGUGGAGCCAAACAGAGUACGGUGCAUAGAUUGUAUAUAAUUUUUUUUCUAUAGUUUUCAUGGUCAAAAUGAGAGAUCAGGUGACCGAUCUUAAAAUAAAUCAAUAUUGAUUUUUUUUAUAGAGCGUUAAAGUUUUGCGAAGCUAGGGGGCGGGACUACUUGAUUGACAGUCUGGAAUGGUUGACAGAUCCUAUGGAGGAGGCAGCAGAGACUCUGCUCUCCUCGUUUGGAUUAAUUCUGAUAUAAUAACUGUUGGUUUGUUUAUCGGUGCAGCAGCAGAACAUUUUCCACAGACAGUUUUCCUGCCCGUUGGCUUGUUUUAACCAGUUUUCUACCUUCGGCUGAUUCUACCAGCAGACACUGAAAGGACUCUAAUAGUUCGGUGUCUCAUUUUCACUGUGAGGAUCUUCUGAGUGAAGCCGGCAGAAGGAAAACCUCAUCUGGUUGUGAAGAAGGAGACUGAAUGGACGACAUCCUCAACCAAAGAACUACAGACUGUUCACAACCUGCUCAAACUCUUGGUACAGGACCUCACCACAUGGGUCAAGAAGGUGCAGUGAGAGAGAGACAGAAAACAGGGGAGAAGAGCAGGGGGAAGACAUGCAGCAAAGGGCCACGAGUGGGAAUCGAACCCGGACCGCUGUGUCGGAGACCAACCCCUGUACAUGAAUCACCUGCUUAACCUGACCAAAGAACUACAGACUGUUCACAACCUGCUCAAACUCUUGGUACAGGACCUCACCACACGGGUCAAGAAGGUUUCCGUCUCAUUUCUACUCUGAAGCUCACCUUCUCCUGCUCAAACUGCUGACAAAUGUUUCUGCUGCUCUAAAGUCUGCUCUCCAGAACUUCCUAAAAACUCUCAAAGUCUCUUCUGCUGCAGGUUGCUUUGUAGAACUGUUCCAGAAAACCUCACUAAACCACAUGGAGGGGCCUCAAGAUAGUCGUCCAAAUGAAACCAUACAAAAACCAAACUAGCACAACCCAAACGCUAAAGUCUCCUGCAGCCUACCAGAGAACCUCUGAGAACAGAGAAUCAGGACAGGAACUCUUACCUUCUGGACAACCAACACUGGUUCACAAACAAGAAUACAGAAUGUGUCUGACCAAAAACCUCUAAAGACUCACUACAGCCAAGAUAAAGACACAACUCAGCUGCAUCAAACCCACUAAUGACUGCAAACAUGAGCACCAUGUGCUAACUGUGGCUAAAGAACCACAUUUACCAAGACAACUAUCCAGUACAAAGCCCUAAAACACACCAAGAAACACAUUAAAGACGAUUUUACUGCUGGAAGCUGCAAGCCAACGCCUAAAGAACUAAAGCAACGGAGCCAAACCCGGUUCAGUGGUGAAGACAAGCAGAGGAAAUGUUUGUCUGCAGCCACAUAAAGCAGGAAGACACUGAGCUGCUCAGGUGUUCCUGAUAACACCAAGCAGCCACCUGGACAGCCAAUAGGAACACAGCAUACUGGAAGUCCAGAGGGCUGGCUUAGUGAAGGAAAUUUAGUUUAAGGUUGAAGCAGAAAGUUAACGAAGAAAGUUGAAAAACACCUUCUGAUACCUGAAAUCUCUGAGUUUUCACACAAAGAACACCUGAACAUGUCAAACUGGUUCCAUAGUAGAACCACCAUUGUAAAAAUGUCAUAGUAUGGUGUGUUGCUCAAAAAACAUUAGGACUCGGCUGUCUGGGGUCGCCGAGGAGCAACACAAAAACAGGACAAACGCUGGUUUUCAGGGGGUUAGGCGGCUAUUUAUUUGAAAGAGUAAGUUUGCAACAACACAACAUGUGAGCAGAAAAAUCACAAAGUCUGUCUUUAGUUCAGCUGAAAAUAUUAGUUAUUGUCUUUUUUCUUUUCUUACAGUUACAGAAAUGGUUUGAUUGCAGUGAUUGCCUCAAAAGGUUGUGCAAUAAAAUAUGAAGUUAAGGGUACAGUCAUUUUUGUCCAGGUCUGUUUCAUGAGUUUAUUUUUUUAAAUAAUUCUGUUGAACCACGGUUCAAAAGCAAUGUCUGAUUUUCAUUGCUUAACUUUCAUAGAAUUUUAUUUAUUAUUACUUUUGUUAGAUUAAAAUUAUUUCUGUGACCAUUGUGGGUUUUUCUUUCAUUAACGGAGGGGUACCAACAAUUUUGUCCACGUAUGUAUACCAGUAAAACUUCACUGAUUUUUAUGUGAAUGUUCUUAAAGAAUGUUUUAGAGAUGAAUGAUAACAGAUGAGGGGAUAUCCUCUCCUGAAGAUGAUUAAAAUUUGACCAAAACGUCAUAGUUUAGUAUGUCGUCCAAAAUAUGGAAAAAACGUCAUAGUUUAGUACGUCAUCCAAAAUGUGAAAAAAAUGUCAUAGUUUAGUAUGUUGUCCAAAAUGUGAAAAAAAGUCAUAGUUUAGUAUGUCGUCCAAAAUGUCACUAAAACCUCAUAGUUUAUUAUGUCGUCCAAAAUGUGAAAAAAAACGUCAUAGUUUAGUAUGUCGUCCAAAAUGUGAAAAAAAACGUCAUAGUUUAGUAUGUCGUCCAAAAUGUAGAAAAAACGUCAUAGUUUAGUAUGUCGUCCAAAAUAUAUAAAAAAAAGUCAUAGGUUAGUAUGUCGUCCAAAAUGUCACAAAAAAGUCAUAGUAUGGUAUGUCGCUCUAAAAACGUCAUAGAAAAGCCUUUCGUCCACAAAAGGUUACGUCCCGGCUGUCUGAAGUAGGUGAGCAGCAACACAAAAACAGUCCAAACGCUGGUUUCCAGAGGGUUAGAAGAGUAUUCAUUUGAAAGAGUAAGUUUACAACAACACAACAUGUGAGGGGGUUAAAAGCAAAUGGGUGUUAGUAAAAUAAAAAUAAACAGAACUAAAAGUGAACUUCACGUUGACAUUGAUGGGCA